CAUGCCUGACCUGAGCCGAAGUCCGUCGCUCUGCUGACUGAGUGGACGCUAUUCUACACAGACACUCAGCGACCCAGGCUGACGAAGGGUUGACCAUUUUGGUUCAUCAUUCUUUCAACAUGUGUCUUCAAAGUUUGCCAAAUCAGGAAAAGGGAGCUAGAAGGUUGAGCAAGACUUCUCACUGACUCAGCUCAGAAGAAAUCCACGCCACCUCUGCUCACAGCUAUUUGGAGAAGUAGUCACAUGUCUUCAACCAUACUGCAAAGGAGGCUGGGAAAUCUGAGAACCAUGUGAAUAUUUAAUGAUGCCAAAUGUUCCUGUCAUAUUCCUUGUUGUGGAUUGAACUGUAUCCCCCUCUCCAAGAUAAAUUCUAGUCCUAAACCCUCAUACCUCAGAAUCUGAUCUUAUUUGGAAAGAGGGUCUUUUUAGAGGUAAUCAAAUUAAAAUUCCCUCCAGUUAAAA